rnacentral:rRNA from 1 species
UACGUAGGGGGCAAGCGUUGUCCGGAAUUAUUGGGCGUAAAGCGCGCGCAGGCGGUUAAUUAAGUUGGGUGUUUAAGCCCGGGGCUCAACCCCGGUUCGCAUCCAAAACUGGUUGACUUGAGUGUAGGAGAGGAAAGUGGAAUUCCACGUGUAGCGGUGAAAUGCGUAGAGAUCCGGAGGAACACCAGUGGCGCAGGCGGCUCUCUGGGUCGGCCCUGACGCUGAGGCGCGAAAGCGUGGGGAGCGAACGGG